UUCUUUCUUUCUUUCUUUCUUUCUUUCUUUCUUUCUUUCUUGCAUUUUUUCAUUUUUUAUUUUUCGCAAUAGCCUUGCCUGGGAGGACUCGAAGGCUGACCUGCAGAGGGCAAUCGUUGGACACGGAUGAUAACAAAGGCAGCUGGGAAGAUUAGGCUCAGGCACGUGGCUGUGACCCAGGACUGCUGCGUAGCUCGCAGCAUCUGAAAGGCGAUCGUCGGGGACUUGGAGAACACCAGCAUCCGUGAGGUGGGAAGGCAGCGGAGCACACAAAGCCAGCCAGAGGCGCCGAGGUCCCUUUCCCAGGGCUUGUUAACACUAUAAUCCGGCACCAGGAGGGAAGGCGAGAGUGCUGAGCGGGGAGGGGGGGCAGCUUUCCGCUGCCCAGAGCUUCUUUCCCUAGCUCAUCAGAUGCCUCCCUGGGUUUUACACACAGUUGGAGUUCGGCUCGAAACCAGGAUUUAAAGGAAAUCGCGUCGGCUGCCAUGAAGAGCCGUUCAGCGCAACCCCAGGGAGAACUCGAGAGAGGGGAAAGGAUGGCAGACAAGCCCAGAAGAAGAAGCUGGAAGCUGGCCAGGGCCCCGGAGUCCAGCAGCCCUGCGUGGAUUUGGGAUCAUCGCUCGCUGGGCGACUCUCUCUUGGAUUCUCCUCCUCCCGUUCCUCUGGGCCACCGGACGUACAGUUGUGGAUUUAUUGUCGCGGUGCGUGCAGCUCCAGCCUCCUCUUCGCCUCCUCUUCCACCACCACCGGCGCCAGCACCACCACCGGCUUUCUGACUCUCUUCGGUGACGGGUAUUCUUGGGUGGAUAAUACGGAUUACGUUGUUAUUGCUUAAGAAUACGCGUAGUCGAGGAGAGUACUCGCGGCAGGCGGGUGGGCAGCGACCACCCACCCCGGUUGGCUCCUUAAACGGCUCUAGUUGCCAAGCCAAUAGGAUGCCUCCCUGAUCUUCUGAAGCCAACAGCACAAGUUCCACAAUGCGAGAAGGCCCCAGUAAACGCACCACCUUCACCACUUCUAAAUCAUCAAGGGAAUUUUCAAACCAAUCUAGCGUUCAUCAGCCAGUUCAUUCAGGGUUCUGAAGUUCCACACUUGGAGCCAGUUUGCAGAGAUGUUCACAACUAGGAGCUUAUGAAGACUAUUCUGGUGAGCCCAUGAUAGGGCAAUAACCUCAGGUGGGGCUGAAAGGGGAUGAUGGAGAGCAGGAGCUGUAAGAUGAGAUGGGGGGUGUUGGGAAAGACAAGAGGUGAUUUUUUCCCCCUGGUGAGAAGAGAAGGAUGCAAAAACAGAGAACUAACCUGUGUUUCGGACUUUGAUGCCUUGAUCCUGAGAGACAUUGCACUGACAUGUGAUGCAUAAGCAGGAAAAUACGCAAACUUGCAACCCUCCCUACCUGAUUUCUGCACGGAGAAAAACCAAAUUCCGCAAUGAAAAUUAAUUAGAAAAAGUAAGUGCAUUUGUGAACAUCUGUGUUUUUCUAUGUUUUAGCAUGUUUCUAUUAGCUCCUGGAAGAAACACGAGGCACUCGUUCUGACCAGUGACCAAAAUAAAUUGAUUUAUUCAUUCAUUCACACAAAGCACUGGAACACCUUGAGUAGUAGAAUCAUAGAAUCAUAGAACUGGAAGGGACCCCAAGUUCCAUACCUUGUGAGAGAUCAACCCAGAUGUUUUCAGCUUUAUCUCUGAAUCCAUAAGGGCUAGAAACUUGCUUUAAACAUUUGUGACAAAUCCAAAAUUCUGCACUGGCUCAAAAUUGUGCAUUCAGGCCUGCUCCCUAGGAGAAGUAUACAUUCAGCUGCACCACUGUAAGAGCAUGACGACAGUCUGGUCCAAAGGUGCCAUGCAAAGUGAGUUUGUUCAGCUCUGAUUGGGCAGGUGCUUAUUUGACUUGCAUCCUGUCCACAGGAUCAGAGCUUCACAAGCUGGUGCUUUUGUUCUGCACCAGGUUACACCCUCUAUGCCUUUUAAGCAGCAUAGAACAAAGGGCACCCUGGCCAGGUUUCGAGCUGGCUCAGGAUUUUGGGUGGCUCCUGAUGAAGACAAAUGUAAAUGACUCCCACUUUGCCAAUAAGCAAUGUGGCAAACACAACCAAACAGGAACUGUGGGAAGGGUCGCAGCAGAAUGGAAGAACACAUGCUUUGCACACACACAAAAUCCCAGAUUUGGUUUCUGGAGUCUCCAGUUUUGUUUAAAGGUCAGGGAUGAGAUGAUGGAGCUUUUGAGAGAGUCCAAGACUCAAUGACACUCAAGGGUAACUUCCUGGUAGAUUCUGCCCAAUGGAUCAGAUGUAUUGUGUCUCCUGCCCAGCCACUCUCAAAGCACCCUUCAGUUUAUCUAGUAGUAGAACCAGCCCCAUCUGCCCCCCUAUUGCAUGAUGUUUCACCAGCAUCUCUGGUUUGUUUACAUAGCACUCUGCUAGGCUAUGUGAACUAGCUAUGCUAGUCAUACUUUACUGUGACUGAUCAUCUGGGGGUGUGGGCAGGCUGGUUGGCUUAUCGGGCUGCAGGAUCAAAGCAUCAUGGUGUUGUUGUUGUUUUUUAAAAGGGGAACUGGGCCACUCUUUAAAUAACUCUCAUUUGUUAGGAUGGCACCACAAAGUCUGCUUCCAAAUGAGCAGAAGAGAGACAGAAAUAAAGUGGAGUUGUCAUGGGCAAUGGUGAUUGUUUAACACAAAUUGAUUUAAGGCAGAAAUAAUAGGAAGCAGAGGGAACGAUGAUGAGAAGGGAGGAGGCAGAGGAGCAAAUAGACAAGAAGCGGGGGGAGGGAGGAGGAGUUUGAUUCAGCAAGUGGAAAGGCAGAAUUGUGUUCUCUGGGGGGCAAUGCUCAGCCUAUGCUGUCUCUGUUUUAAUAUGUUGUGAAAUGUGCGCAGUCAACUAUUGACAGGUGACCAUUGCAGCAAAGUGGAUUGUGAAUCAGAUUGGGAUCAGGGAUACCUCGGUGCAAACCCACGCAGUCAUGAACCUUCCUUGGACCUGUCCCUGCCUCUGUCUCCCUGGCAGGGCUGUAUUGAGAACAAAACACAUCGUAUCCUGAGCACUUAUUCCAAAUACUGUCAAUACUAAAUGUGGUUAUUGCAAACCUUUUGCUUUUACAAUCUAUACCAGCAGCUAAAGAAGCUGCAACCAGCUUUUGCUUCCUUAUACUGACAUUUCAAUAUUGUAAAUAGUUGCACUGAAUAAAGAUCUUUGUACACCCGAAGUGGUAUUCACCUUACUUUUGCUUCAUUGUUAAGAUCUCUGGAUCUUUGGAAUCCCUGUUGUCAUGAAUUUUUAAAAACACGAGUUCCAAAAAUGUGCAUCAGGCUAAACUGCUGUUUAUAUGCAAUGUUACGUAUAGAAAGUUGAAUUAAUUUUCAUCUCAUGUGGGGAGGGUGGAGAGAGUGUUCCUGCUUUCAAAUUACAUCUGACAAUAGGCUUUUAAGAGUUUGGGAUGCUUUCACUAUAACAAUGGAAUAUUUUAAUCUUUCAUAAUGGAUUUUUUAAAAACCUAUUUUGAAAUGUAUUUUUUCACUCUACAGAAGUGGGAUGCUUUAAAUGAAGCAUUAGAAUUAGGAGCUACUAAGACAUGCUGUGUGUUGAUUCUGCUCAGCCUCAUGCUAGCGAAAACCAGAUAGGAAUGCAAUCUGCGUGCAACCCUUUAACAUCCAAAUUCCAGGCUGUGUGCAUCUCUGAAUUACAACCAAUUAGAAAUACUUUUCUCUUCUUCAAAAAAAACCCACCAAAAAAACAAAUUUGUUGAGACAUCAGUCUAGAAGCAAGCGAAGGGCAGAAUUCAACUAGGACAGUUUUAUUUUAUUUUUUAAUUUACUGAAAAUGUUUCUAACCUAUUACUGUGAUACAUGGCUGGUUGUUUUUCUGUGGUUUCCUAAUAUAUUGAAUGUGCUUUGUAUGCUGUAUAU